GUUCCGUUACACAUCCACUCACUCCAGCCUUUAUACAUUACAUUUUGACUAACUACAUUGGAAACAUGUUUUAUUUUGCACAACCUAUUUACCCAGUUUUUAUACUGAACAAUUCCUUUAAGGCAGGAGCCACAGCCCUACACAGGUGUCUGAUGUAGCCUGUUAUUGUGAACAGACCUCCUGUAGAUGCUCAUUUCAGGAAAGAAGAAUGUUGCUGUGCAAGUUUCAUUGAUGUCCCUGGAAGGCUCACUCUGGCACACAUCAAGUACUAUGGGUCAGUUGUGCUCCCGUACAAGUGUUGGUCUGCUUGCAACCCAGAAGAAAUGUAAUGGUCAGUUUGGCCCUCCAAGUGUGCUCCCAAGUUGGCUACUGAUUGGAAGGGUUGAAUAAAUGCAUCUGCUGGUGUUUGUCAAUCAUUGAAUAAUGCCUGAUAACCAUCUGUACCCAAUUAUAUAUGUAUUUAUAUUUUAUUUAUAUAUUUAUGCUAUAACAUACACAUGCAAAUAAAAUUAAAAAUAUUUACCAA